UACGUAGGGGGCAAGCGUUGUCCGGAAUCAUUGGGCGUAAAGCGCGUGUAGGCGGCCCGAUAAGUCCGCUGUGAAAGUCCAGGGCUCAACCCUGGAAUGCCGGUGGAUACUGUCGGGCUCGAGUCCGGAAGAGGCGAGUGGAAUUCCUGGUGUAGCGGUGAAAUGCGCAGAUAUCAGGAGGAACACCAAUGGCGAAGGCAGCUCGCUGGGACGGUACUGACGCUGAGACGCGAAAGCCAGGGGAGCAAACGGG
rnacentral:rRNA from 1 species